UACGAAGGGGGCUAGCGUUGCUCGGAAUUACUGGGCGUAAAGGGCGCGUAGGCGGAUACUUAAGUUGGGGGUGAAAGCCCGGGGCUCAACCUCGGAAUUGCCUUCAAUACUGGGUAUCUUGAGUUCGGGAGAGGUGAGUGGAACUCCGAGUGUAGAGGUGAAAUUCGUAGAUAUUCGGAAGAACACCAGUGGCGAAGGCGACUCACUGGCCCGAUACUGACGCUGAGGCGCGAAAGCGUGGGUAGCAAACAGG
rnacentral:rRNA from 1 species